GAUGAACGCUGGCGGCGUGCCUAAUACAUGCAAGUCGAGCGAACAGAUGAGGAGCUUGCUCCUCUGACGUUAGCGGCGGACGGGUGAGUAACACGUGGAUAACCUACCUAUAAGACUGGGAUAACUUCGGGAAACCGGAGCUAAUACCGGAUAAUAUAUUGAAUCGCAUGGUUCAAUAGUGAAAGACGGUUUUGCUGUCACUUAAAGAUGGAUCCGCGCCGCAUUAGCUAGUUGGUAAGGUAACGGCUUACCAAGGCGACGAUGCGUAGCCGACCUGAGAGGGUGAUCGGCCACACUGGAACUGAGCAACGGCCCAGACUCCUACGGGAGGCAGCAGUAGGGAAUCUUCCGCAAAGGGCGAAAGCCUGACGGAGCAACGCCGCGUGAGUGAUGAAGGUCUUCGGAUCGUAAAACUCUGUUAUUAGGGAAGAACAAAUGUGUAAGUAACUAUGCACGUCUUGACGGUACCUAAUCAGAAAGCCACGGCUAACUACGUG
rnacentral:rRNA from 1 species